rnacentral:rRNA from 1 species
GCCUGAGUCUGAUAAGGGCGUCAGAGUUGUUGGGCGUAGACCCGAAACCGGAUGAUCUAUCCAUGGCCAGGAUGAAGGUGCCGUAACAGGUACUGGAGGUCCGAACCCACUAACUUUGAAAAGUUAGGGGAUGAGCUGUGGAUAGGGGUGAAAGGCUAAACAAAUCCGGAAAUAGCUGGUUCUCCCCGAAAACUAUUUAGGUAGUGCGUCGUACGGACACUUGCGGGGGUAGAGCACUGUAAUCGUUGGAGGGGUCAUUGCGAUCUACUCCGCGAUAGCAAACUCCGAAUACCGCAAAGUGAUAUACGGCAGACAGACAGCGGGUGCUAACGUCCGUUGUCAAGAGGGAAACAACCCAGACCGCCAGCUAAGGUCCCAAAUACAUGGCUAAGUGGGAAACGAAGUGGGAAGGCACAGACAGCUAGGAGGUUGGCUUAGAAGCAGCCAUCCUUUAAAGAAAGCGUAAUAGCUCACUAGUCGAGUCGUCCUGCGCGGAAGAUGUAACGGGGCUCAAGCCAUGAACCGAAGCUGCGGAUGUGUCUUUGACACGUGGUAGGGGAGCGUUCCGUAAGCCUGCGAAGGUGUCUCGAGAGGGAUGCUGGAGGUAUCGGAAGUGCGAAUGCUGACACGAGUAACGAUAAAGGGUGUGAAAAGCACCCUCGCCGUAAGCCCAAGGUUUCCUGCGCAACGUUCAUCGGCGCAGGGUGAGUCGGCCCCUAAGGCGAGGCAGAAAUGCGUAGUCGAUGGGAAACAGGUCAAUAUUCCUGUACCGCUCUAUGAUGCGAUGGGGGGACGGAGAAGGUUAGGUUGGCCAUCUGUUGGAAUAGGUGGUUCAAGUGUGUAGGCGUGCUGCGUAGGCAAAUCCGCGCGGCUUAGCUGAGGCAUGAUAACGAGGGCCUUCGGGCCUGAAGCAACUGAUACCCUGCUUCCAGGAAAAGCCUCUAAGCUUCAGUCAUAGAGUGACCGUACCGCAAACCGACACAGGUGGGCUGGUAGAGAAUACCAAGGCGCUUGAGAGAACUCAGGAGAAGGAACUCGGCAAAUUGAUACCGUAACUUCGGGAGAAGGAAUGCCCCGUUAGCUUGUAGGAGUACAUCCGAAGGGCGAAGGGGCCGCAGAGAAUCGGUGGCUGCGACUGUUUAUUAAAAACACAGCACUGUGCAAACACGAAAGUGGACGUAUACGGUGUGACGCCUGCCCGGUGCCGGAAGGUUAAGUGAUGGGGUGCAAGCUCUUGAUCGAAGCCCCGGUAAACGGCGGCCGUAACAAUAACGGUCCUAAGGUAGCGAAAUUCCUUGUCGGGUAAGUUCCGACCUGCACGAAUGGCGUAACGAUGGCCACACUGUCUCCUCCUGAGACUCAGCGAAGUUGAAAUGCUUGUGAAGAUGCAAUCUACCCGCGGCUAGACGGAAAGACCCCAUGAACCUUUACUGUAGCUUUGCAUUG